rnacentral:rRNA from 1 species
UACGUAGGCAGCAAGCGUUGUUCGGAAUUACUGGGCGUAAAGAGUGUGUAGGCGGUGCUCCAAGUCUGGUGUGAAAUCUCCCGGCUCAACUGGGAGGGUGCCUCGGAAACUGCCAGGCUUGAGGCAGGGAGAGGGAUGUGGAAUUCCCGGUGUAGUGGUGAAAUGCGUAGAUAUCGGGAGGAACACCAGUGGCGAAGGCGGCAUCCUGGCCCUGUCCUGACGCUCAGGGGCGAAAGCGUGGGGAGCAAACCGG